UUUUUGGAGGUCACUCCUGUUGGAGUUUUUCCUGAGAGCCUAUGACUUGGACACAUUCGUCUGUCUUUUCUACUUUUACCGGGAAGAGUAUGUCUUAACUAACAAGGAGAACAGUGCCAGGGGAGCAGAAGCGAUCUGGCUACAGUGAUGAACAGCUUGCAAGUUAAGGUCACAAAUCCAUGAUCAUCUCUCAACAAAAAAAGAGUAUCUAACACGUCAUUAGACAGAAGCUACCAACUGUUUGACCUGAUCUUAAACAUGGAUUCAUCUCUAACAAAGAUCAUGUUAUUAAGGAGUAUCAUCUAUCAGAAGAGCCUUCAGCACCUCGGAAGGUGUGUGUUGUCUUUCUUCUCUGGGGUAUCAAAGUGAUUCUUCUCCAACCACAAGGAACACAGCAGAUCAGUUCAAGGGCAAGGAUACUCAGGCAAGAGUCAAUUCCCCUCAUCAAGGAACUUGUCACACUAGUUAUUAUUGAAAGCUACCUAUAAGAAAGUUUGAUAGCUCUUACAGAUACUUGCGCAUCAGGUGUUUUUGUUGCUCAUUUCCAGCUUACUCUGAGAAGAUUGCUCUCAUAAGGACCUGAAUCAAUGGUACCAGAUGAUUGUAUUGUGAAGGCCAGGGUAAAAUGCUAAUCUUAUGUCACUUUGCAGGAAAGAUACCAGAUUUGUGACUCUGAGGAACUUGGACAAAACGGGUGUACCCAUGGUUAUGGAUAUGGAAGUCUGGAUUCUACACAUGCUUUAUCCUGCUUUCUAGCAAGUAAAAGAGAUUCUAGGGAAGAAUUAGUAAAACUAUUAAGGAGGCAACAUGUUGUCAAGUAUAAAGUAGGACUGUAGCUCUUGUUUUCCUGGCUCUCCAAUUAUAUUUCUAAUCCAAAAACUAGACCCUAAUUUUAUGUCUUGCUGAAGGCAAGUUUUGUUUAACUAGUAUUGGAGGGAAAGCCAAGCAAAUAAAAAACAGCUUAGUGCCUUCUCUCCCUUUCAGGUAACAAAUAACCCAAAUAAGAUGAAUAGGUACUGAAGUGAACCUGACCUUAAGAUCCUCUGAUGGAUUUAGAAACUGGAAAAUGCUACCAGAAGAUACUGCCACAGUUUUUUAUUUGCAGUUGUGUAAAAUACUUAUUUAUAAUAGUUCCAUGUACCUGAGGGUAGGAACUUUCUUGGUUCUCUGUGGGCUUAAGACAGGUGCACUUUUGUGGUGAAGACCACUUCUGGCAUCUUAUUUGCCUGGUAUUGUGGGUACAAAAUAAAGCAACUCUGUUGGCCUGACGUGAAUUUCUUUUCUAUCUUCAUAGAAAAAAAUGACCAGACUAAACAAAAUAUGUGUUAAUUUCCAAGUUUUGCUAGAGAACUUUGACAGAAAGCUGUUCUUUCAAGAACAAGCUAGCAGCUAACACAAAUGGUAUGAGCAUGGAAAUGGGGCUAGAGUGGUGGAGAUCAUUCUCACAAGGCACUGUGUGUCAAAGAUUCACUGAAUUUUGGUUGGUGAAACAUGUUUUCUCUAAAUCACUUAAUACAAUCUACUUUCAUUGUGAGCAUGUGAGAAACAGAUUUAGCCUCUUGACCUCCAUGGCUUGGAACAGCCUGUGACAAUAACUUAAACUCUAAGGUAGAGAGAGCACUGGACUUCCUAGCAGCACAGAGCUCUAGCUACAAGGAAGUACACUGUGUGUGCUUUCUCUGAAGUGCAUGAUUGGGUCUGGAGAGAGACACUUUGACACAGACUGCUUUUGAGAACAGAUUGUAAAAGGCUUUGUUUCCAUUCCACUGCAAAAUGGCAAAAGACUUCAAAAUAUUGAAUAGUGUCAGGAAAUGGGCUUUCAACCUUUAGUUAAGCUUCCGUCAUCCCACUGCUCCAUUCAGAUUAAAUUAUUUUGAACAAAUAUUUUCAGGAGAACAGAGAAAAUAUAAAAAGUACUAUGUAAUACAUAGAAUGUUGUUCCAUAUGUCAGUGCUGUUUUACUUGUUAUACUCACUGUUAAGUUUAUGAGCAUCUUAUUGUUAUACAGCAUGAUGAAAAUGAAUUCUAAAUAGAGUAUCAAAAUUAAAAACAUAUGACGUCUGUUGACAGCAUCUGUUUUCCUUGUAUUUUUAUUCCUUGUCUGAUGCACCCGAAUAUUUUAUCAAUGCAUUGGAAGUGCAAGAAAAAUCUUUUCUUGAUCACUCACACCGCUGAGAUCCUAAGGAAAGAAUUUUCCAUGUGC
ensembl:lncRNA